AAUAAAACGCUGCCGCUGCAGACGCAACUGCCGAGUUACCAUCUUGGGUGAGGUGCUGGAGCGUGUCAGUGGGGUGUGUAAAUUCCUUGGCCGUCGACGCAAGCUGUGCUGUCAAUGAGCUUUGUGAACCGAGACCUGAAGCACCUCGAGUUGUCCCUGAAGACCUGGAAAAGCGUUUAGUUGUUGUACCUGUGCCUUUUCUUCUCUCACCUAAAUAAACCUCAAGCAUCAAACUCACCAUCUGGCUCUUUUGUGUGUUUGGUUUUAUUUUGAGUUUUGCACGGCAUAUUCUUUCGGGUCCCUUGUGUGGAGAAUUGUAUCCUGAUGUCCUGGGCGACCUGCCCCCUCUCCAGCCUAUGGCUCUAGCCCCUCGGGGUUUUUUGUUUUAUGGGGGUUUUUCACUUGCCAAGCCUUCAGUCACAUGAGCCAGUUUCUGACAAUGAAGAACUCAGUUUCGUUUCUCUGGAGAAUGCUAACUGAUAUAUCCCCAAACCUAAGUGAUGGGGAGGAGGCUGACGUCCAUAGGGAUGGACCCAGAGACAUGGAGGACCUCUGCCUGGGCUCCUGAACCGCCCAGGGGAGAGUGAUUAUUCACAUAGGCAUAUUCAAGGCAGUUCUGACAAAUGGAAAACAGCACCUUUCUUUACAAGCUUCAAGCAAAAGACUGGACCAAGCCUGAGCUGGUGUGGCUCGGUUGACUGGAGUGUCACCCCAUGUGCAGGAAGGUCACGGGUUCUGGUCAGGGUACGAGGAGGUUGCAUGUUCAACUCCGGGUCAAGGCACAUAGAGGAGGCAACUGAUCAAUGUUCUCUCUUUUCUCUCUCUCUCUCUCUCUCU